rnacentral:rRNA from 1 species
AAGUCGAGCGCCCCGCAAGGGGAGCGGCAGACGGGUGAGUAACGCGUGGGAACGUGCCUUUCGGUUCGGAACAACUGAGGGAAACUUCAGCUAAAACCGGAUACGCCCUUCGGGGGAAAGUUUACGCCGAAAGAUCGGCCCGCGCCAGAUUAGGUAGUUGGUGGGGUAAUGGCCUACCAAGCCGACGAUCUGUAGCUGUUCUGAGAGGAAGAUCAGCCACACUGGGACUGAGACACGGCCCAGACUCCUACGGGAGGCAGCAGUGGGGAAUAUUGGACAAUGGGCGCAAGCCUGAUCCAGCUAUGCCGCGUGGAUGAAGAAGGCCUUCGGGUUGUAAAGUCCUUUCGGUGG